rnacentral:rRNA from 1 species
AUUGAACGCUGGCGGCAGGCCUAACACAUGCAAGUCGAGCGGAGCGGCGGACGGGUGAGUAAUGCCUAGGAAUCUGCCUGGUAGUGGGGGAUCACGUCCGGAAACGGGCGCUAAUACCGCAUACUAUCAGAUGAGCCUAGGUCGGAUUAGCUAGUUGGUGGGGUAAAGGCCUACCAAGGCGACGAUCCGUAACUGGUCUGAGAGGAUGAUCAGUCAACACGGAACUGAGAAACGGGCCAGGAUCCCAAGGGAGGCAGGAGUGGGGAAUAUUGGACAAUGGGCGAAAGCCCGAUCCAGCCAUGGCGGGGGGUGUGAGAAGGGUUUUGGGUUGGAAAGCACUUGAAGUUGGGAGGCGUUACCAACAGAAUAAGCACCGGCUAACUUCGUGCCAGCAGCCGCGGUAAUUC